rnacentral:misc_RNA from 1 species
UUUUCGGUUCUCGAGUUCAUUUUAGCAGGCCAAGUAAGCGGUAGAGAACGCUUAGCUCAUUCCUCGACAUCAGCAGUUCUUGGCUCGAUAUGACUUACUGCAUACCACCACGCGUAGUGCGGCGGCUGUGUGACUCGGAGUGGUUCAAAACAGAGUUUUUAGACAAGGAGACUGGGACUGUCAACCACGAUCUCGCCGUGGUCAGCAGCCAGUGCAGAAGUGUGGGUCAAGCAAGCAAACAUGAAUGUGCCCAGCUCAUCUCUUCAUCCUUUCGGCCGUUCAUUGAGAAAGUGCUUCCUUUACCGGCAAGUGCAUGCGACAGCGUUGCGGUAGAGUGCGGCGGGUGUUGGUUUUGGGAAACGUAUCGGCAUGCUUUGUUCGGGGAGAACGUGCUCAUUCAUCUGGGCGGCUCUGGCAUUUCACUGGCAGAAGACAGACUCGACGCACAAGUCGAGCUGCGAUUGAGGAUGUGCGCAAGCAACACCUUGGCUUUGCCAUCCCAGCACCGCACAAAGGUGCUGCUGCAUGGUUCAGCAAAGCUAGAGGUUGUUUACGCUCUCGCUCUGUCUGUCGCGCUUCAUGUGGCAAAACAGCCGCUGCUAGAGCAUGGAGAAGGGCCUCAGGCGCUGGUCUUGUGCGCGACCAAGGACCAGUGCGAUGAGAUAGCGUGCGCUUUGAACGAGUUCUGCGCCUCACUACACCUAAUUGUGCACAACCUCUUUGAGCCAUAUCCACCGAUGCCGGCAGACAAGCGCGCCGAGGUUGUCGUCGCCACUCCGCCGUUAUGGGAAAGCUUGGCAAAGUUUAUGCAGCACCCCAAUCAUGCACGCCUGGGCACCGCGUCUCAGAACGAAGGAUUGGAGGACUUGCUUCUGAAGGUGGAGGGAGAAGGCCAGCUACCACCAACGUACGACCUCACACGAUGGCGUCCUUAUAAUCUUACGCACGUGGCGCAGCUUGUCAUCUUCGAUGUGGAGCUGCAGAUAAACAUGGGGUUCGGGACUCUUCUAAAGCAUCUUCUCGGACUUCCACAUGAAACAUUUCCUGUACGUUGCAAAUUGGAGAGUUCCUCCGCCGUGGGCAAGCUGCCUCUCUCGUGUCAACUGUAUGCCGUUGCAGGUGGCGAUCGAUUUGCCGUCGAAGCGGAUACCGUGCGUUCACUGCUCGAAGCAAUCCGUACCAAUGGACGACUCCGAUUUAAUCAUGGUACCGCAGAGCUUUCACUGGUCAGCCCCCGUCCUGUACUUGAUUCUGAUGAAGACGGUCGCGCACCGCUCUCGCAUGGCGUUCGCAAACGACAACGGACGGAGGACGGGCUGGGUGAUCGCAGCGGGCAGGAAAGGCCGUGGAAAGCCAAUGCCACCACCUUACGACAUGGCAACGGCACGUCUUUCGAAGGCAUUCUUAUCCGAAGCGCAUUGUCGCACGGACGACUCCUCGCCGACUUCACCGCGUUUACUGAUUUUGUCAGUCGCGUGAUGCAGGAGGCCAGCACCUUUUGGGAGAGCUUUGAGAGCGGCAUUUGCGACGACUCGGGCUCCCACGGGACGCCGUCACCAGCCUCGUCGCCCCUGACAACUGGCAACAAGGUGAGGGAUGUAGAUCGAUUUCCUACCUCAGCCGCUUCCGCAUCUUUUCUCCAGUGCGCGCGCGUGGAGCUGGCUCUCGUUUGCACUAACUCAGCCAACCCCGGUUCCCAUUCAUGCUUUGCAGCGUCCGAGACCUACCGUGCUCAGGAGGUGGGUGUGUGGGUGCAUUCUGCCCCGUCCUCUCCUGCAAGCCUCUCGUCCCGUCUGACGCUCUUGUUCCAGCACUUGAAUGAUCGGUUGAAUGGCGAGCUGUUUGACGGCAGCGUUGUACAGUGCGUCCUGGCAACUGACAUGGCGCGCCUGCCCUUCACACUUAGCCCCAUCACCGCAUCAGCAACAGACGGUGAAGACAGUCGUUUGGUGCAGCAACAUGAACUGUUCUGUUAUGGCCCCAAUCUCAUGCAACCAGCUCUGCUGUGUGCUGCCCGAAAAAGUGGGGAUGAGGCUGCGGCUGCAGCAGCGGCGCGCAACGCCGAACGCGUUGAGACUCUAUCUGUGGUGGAAGAGCUCACCGCUGCCACGAAGGGCGCAGAGAGGUCUCCUGGAUGUGUGCCGAGGUGUUGCUUCUUGUCAACGCCUCCCCACGCAGGCCAGGCCGCCUCAUCAUCGCGGGGGAGCACCGUUGCUCCAUCGGAUGUCAGCACUGUGUUGGUGGUGCGCCACGUAGCCCCAUCGAGCGUUGCCUUGUGCGGUGGAGAGAGAACCACCAGCUCACAAACGUGUCCACCAGGGGAGGUGAAACCGCUGGCGCUUUACUUGCUGGAGGAGUGCUGCCAAUACGGACGCGUUUUGUCGUACUACGCUUAUGAAGCCACUCGGACGACGGUCGUGGACGCCGUAGAGGACGGGCAGGAAGCUGGAGGUAGCGACGGGGCGGCGCUUGCAGCGCGAACAGAAACAGCGAUGGAGCAAGGGCAGCCACUUGCCACUGAGGGACAGCUCACAACUGCGUCUCUCUUUAUUGAGUUCGCCAGUGCCGAUUCUGCAGUAGAGGCGGUUCGGCUCCUUUCGCGCCGUUUCGCCUUCCAACACCAGCAGUCGCAGUCGCAAGGUGCACCUGCUCGCCUUCCGCGGGCUCGCCUGUUCACCAAUCGCACAUACUACGAGGGCGUGCGGCAGGAGCUGUCAUCGCAGAUGCUCUACGACGGAACUAUGGGCAGAGACCAGAGCAGCGAUGACGACAGUCGCUUCAGUGACCUUCACAUAUCCUUACUCGCGGAGUAGCUUCACGGCCGAUUAGCCGCACAGCCGAACACCAUUACGCUUCCUUUUGACCUUUCUUCGCGACAACUCGU